CUAGCCGUAAACGAUGGAUACUAGGCGUUGUGAGUAUCGACCCUCACAGUGUCGUAGCUAACGCGUUAAGUAUCCCGCCUGGGGAGUACGCGUGCAAGCGUGAAACUCAAAGGAAUUGACGGGGGCCCGCACAAGCGGUGGAGUAUGUGGUUUAAUUCGAUGCAACGCGAAGAACCUUACCAGGACUUGACAUGUCGCGAAUCUCAGGGAAACUUGAGAGUGCCUUCGGGAGCGCGAACACAGGUGGUGC
rnacentral:rRNA from 1 species